rnacentral:rRNA from 1 species
AUGGUGGUAACGGGUAACGGGGUGUUAGGGCACGACACCGGAGAGGGAGCCUGAGAAACGGCUACCACAUCCAAGGAUGGCAGCAGGCGCGCAAAUUACCCGAUCCCGACACGGGGAGGUAGUGACAAUAAAUAACAAUACGGGGUCCUUUAGGGUUUCGUAAUUGGAAUGAGUACAAUUUAAAUCUCUUAACGAGGAACAAUUGGAGGGCAAGUCUGGUGCCAGCAGCCGCGGUAAUUCCAGCUCCAAUAGCGUAUAUUAAAGUUGUUGCAGUUAAAAAGCUCGUAGUUGAAUUUCGGGAUCAGUACGCCGGUCGUGCCUUCGGUAUGCACUGGUGUCACUGGUUUCUCCCUUCUGAAGAACCAUCAUGCCAUUCAGUUGGUGUGGCGGGGAAUCAGGACUGUUACUUUGAAAAAAUUAGAGUGUUUAAAGCAGGCUCGCGCUUGAAUACAUUAGCAUGGAAUAAUGAAAUAGGACGUUUGACCCUAUUUUGUUGGUUUCUAGGAUCGACGUAAUGAUUAAUAGGGAUAGUUGGGGGCAUUAGUAUUCAAUUGUCAGAGGUGAAAUUCUUGGAUUUAUUGAAGACUAACUACUGCGAAAGCAUUUGCCAAGGGUGUUUUCAUUAAUCAAGAACGAAAGUUAGGGGAUCGAAGACGAUCAGAUACCGUCGUAGUCUUAACCAUAAACUAUGCCGA